GAAUUUGAAGUGAUUUAUUACAAUUAGUUUCGACCUAAUAUUAGAUGAUAUUAUCAUCCUUAUUCU
rnacentral:tRNA from 1 species